GUGGGGAAUUUUGGACAAUGGGCGCAAGCCUGAUCCAGCCAUGCCGCGUGCAGGAUGAAGGCCUUCGGGUUGUAAACUGCUUUUGUACGGAACGAAAAGACUCUGGUUAAUACCUGGGGUCCAUGACGGUACCGUAAGAAUAAGCACCGGCUAACUACGUGCCAGCAGCCGCGGUAAUACGUAGGGUGCAAGCGUUAAUCGGAAUUACUGGGCGUAAAGCGUGCGCAGGCGGUUAUAUAAGACAGAUGUGAAAUCCCCGGGCUCAACCUGGGAAUUGCGCUUGUGACUGCAAGGCUGGAGUGCGGCAGAGGGGGAUGGAAUUCCGCGUGUAGCAGUGAAAUGCGUAGAUAUGCGGAGGAACACCGAUGGCGAAGGCAAUCCCCUGGGCCUGCACUGACGCUCAUGCACGAAAGCGUGGGGAGCAAACAGGAUUAGAUACCCGGGUAGUCC
rnacentral:rRNA from 1 species